UACGUAGGGUGCGAGCGUUGUCCGGAAUUAUUGGGCGUAAAGAGCUCGUAGGCGGUUUGUUGCGUCUAUCGUGAAAACCUGCAGCUUAACUGUGGGCUUGCGGUGGAUACGGGCAGACUUGAGUUCGGUAGGGGAGACUGGAAUUCCUGGUGUAGCGGUGAAAUGCGCAGAUAUCGGGAGGAACACCUAUGGCGAAGGCAGCUCGCUGGGACGUUACUGACGCUGAGACGCGAAAGCGUGGGGAGCAAACAGG
rnacentral:rRNA from 1 species